ACAGGAAGAAGCUUGCUUCUUUGCUGACGAGUGGCGGACGGGUGAGUAAUGUCUGGGAAACUGCCUGAUGGAGGGGGAUAACUACUGGAAACGGUAGCUAAUACCGCAUAACGUCGCAAGACCAAAAAGGGGGACCUUCGGGCCUCUUGCCAUCGGAUGUGCCCAGAUGGGAUUAGCUAGUAGGUGGGGUAACGGCUCACCUAGGCGACGAUCCCUAGCUGGUCUGAGAGGAUGACCAGCCACACUGGAACUGAGACACGGUCCAGACUCCUACGGGAGGCAGCAGUGGGGAAUAUUGCACAAUGGGCGCAAGCCUGAUGCAGCCAUGCCGCGUGUAUGAAGAAGGCCUUCGGGUUGUAAAGUACUUUCAGCGGGGAGGAAGGGAGUAAAGUUAAUACCUUUGCUCAUUGACGUUACCCGCAGAAGAAGCACCGGCUAACUCCGUGCCAGCAGCCGCGGUAAUACGGAGGGUGCAAGCGUUAAUCGGAAUUACUGGGCGUAAAGCGCACGCAGGCGGUUUGUUAAAUCAGAUGUGAAAUCCCCGGGCUCAACCUGGGAACUGCAUCUGAUACUGGCAAGCUUGAGUCUCGUAGAGGGGGGUAGAAUUCCAGGUGUAGCGGUGAAAUGCGUAGAGAUCUGGAGGAAUACCGGUGGCGAAGGCGGCCCCCUGGACGAAGACNUGACGCUCAGGUGCGAAAGCGUGGGGAGUAAACAGG
rnacentral:rRNA from 1 species